GGAAGUAAAAGUCGUAACAAGAUUUCCGUAGGUGAACCUGCGGAAGGAUCAUUCAUAAUAAGUGUUUUAUGGCACUUUUUUAAAUCCAUAUCCACCUUGUGUGCAAUGUCAGGGUUGAUUUUUCUCUCGAGAGGAUCAACCCCAAACAUCAACUAUAUCUCAACUCUUUGUCUGAAAAUAUUAUGAAUAAAACAAUUCAAAAUACAACUUUCAACAACGGAUCUCUUGGCUCUC
rnacentral:misc_RNA from 1 species